GAUGAAGAACGUAGCGAAAUGCGAUAAGUAAUGUGAAUUGCAGAAUUCAGUGUAUCAUCGAAUCUUUGAACGCACAUUGCGCCCUCUGGUAUUCCGGGGGGCAUGCCUGUUCGAGCGUCAUUAUAACCACUCAAGCUCUCGCUUGGUAUUGGAGUUCGCGAUCUCGCGGCUCCUAAAAUCAGUGGCGGUGCCUGUCGGCUCUACGCGUAGUAAUGCUCCUCGCGAUUGAGUCCGGUAGGUUUACUUGCCAGCAACCCCCAAUUUUUACAGGUUGACCUCGGAUCAGGUAGGGAUACCCGCUGAACUUAAGCAUAUCAAUAAGCGGAGGA
rnacentral:misc_RNA from 1 species